UUCCUAUUAUUCCUUCUUUCUUACUUCAUUUCUCGUUAUUCCUUUUCCUCCUCUUCCUACAAUCCUCCAUGUCAUUCCCUUCCCCGUCCGUGUCCUUGGCAGCAACCAUAAAUCAUGCACGCGGUCCCCAAGAGUUUUUCGUGGGUGUUGACUCGUUCCUAUUGGCUACUCCUAUUGGCUUCACGCGCUCGCUCGAAGCUACGAACCUAAUGCGUCAGAAUUCUUGAACCUGUGUGAACUGGAUCUAGGGGGUUUGGUCUAGUUUGUGUGUGUGUGCGUGUGUCAAGGUCAUUUCAGGUUUCGUGUAGUCUCCAGCGCGCUCUCACCCACGCACGACUCAAUUCAUUCCUGGAGCUUCUGGAAUUCUUUUACCCGCGUUUUAAAUUAUAAUGUUGUUUACUUCAAGCUUGUUCUCAGUAGCUACGUUGUUAACCCGUCCGCUACGAUUGGCACGGUUUUGGCUUUCACCGGUAGCCUGGUAACACACACUCCCAGGUCUUUCUCUGCCUCUGUAGUGGAUAGUGGAGUGUUUCCCAUGUGGUAUUGGUGUGCUGGAUAUCCCUUCACUGGUAGCCUGGUAACAUACACUCCCAGGUCUUUCUCUGCCUCUGUGGUGGAUAGUGGAGUGUUUCCCAUGUGGUAUUGGUGUGCUGGAUAUCCCUUCACUGGUAGCCUGGUAACACACACUCCCAGGUCUUUCUCUGCCUCUGUGGUGGAUAGCGGAGUGUUUCCCAUGUGGUAUUGGUGUGCUGGAUAUCCCCUCCCAAGGUGCAGGA